rnacentral:misc_RNA from 1 species
AGAAAAAAAAAAUUGAAAAAACCCUAGAAGAGGAAGAGGAUGAGCAUUUGAGGAAGACAGAAGAAAUGGGGGUUGGGACCAAAAAGGGUAAGAAAAUGCUUGCAAGCUAUGUGAGUAGGCGUAAUGAUGAAUGAUUAAGAGGGGAAUUGAAAGGAUAAUAAAGAAGCAAAUAAUGGGGGGAUGAAGAUUGGAGUUGAACGACAGAAGAGAAAUGAGAAUCUCUCUCUCUCUAAAA